rnacentral:rRNA from 1 species
CCUGCCCAAGAGAUCGGGAUAACACCUGGAAACAGAUGCUAAUACCGGAUAACAACAGAUGAUGCCUAUCAACUGUUUAAAAGAUGGUUCUGCUAUCACUCUUGGAUGGACCUGCGGUGCAUUAGCUGGUUGGUAGGGUAACGGCCUACCAAGGCGAUGAUGCAUAGCCGAGUUGAGAGACUGAUCGGCCACACUGGGACUGAGACACGGCCCAAACUCCUACGGGAGGCAGCAGCU